rnacentral:lncRNA from 1 species
AAAUUCAGAAGUUACUUGGUAGGAUCAAAAGUUGUAGUCUACACAGACCAUGCUGCGCUUAGGCAUAUAUACUCCAAGAAGGAUACCAAGCCGAGACUGCUGAGAUGGAUACUUCUACUCCAGGAGUUUGAUAUGGAGAUUGUUGAUAAGAAGGGGAUAGAGAACGGCGUUGCUGAUCACCUGUCCAGAAUGAGAAUAGAAGAUCCAAUCCCUAUUGAUGACUCUAUGCCUGAAGAACAUCUUAUGGUUGUUGAGAUAUGUAAGAAGAUGCAUCAAACAGGAAUGGCUAUGAAGGAGAUUCAAUGACUAGCAGUCAAUUCAGAGAGUAUGCCCUGGUAUGCGGAUGUGGUGAACUACAAGGUCUGUGGAGAGAUUCCUGCAGACAUGGAUCCUAAUAGAAAAAAGAAGUUUUUCAGAGAUGUCAACCACUACUUCUGGGAUGAACCUUACUUGUACAAGAGAGGUUCAGNNNNNNNNNNNNNNNNNNNNNNNNNNNNNNNNNNNNNNNNNNNNNNNNNNNNNNNNNNNNNNNNNNNNNNNNNNNNNNNNNNNNNNNNNNNNNNNNNNNNCGCUACAUUCAAAACAGUUCAAAAGGUUCUGCAAGCAGGCCUUUGGUGGCCAACGUUGUUCAAGUAUACAAACAGUUUCAUCACCAAGUGUGACGCCUGCCAGAGGAUGGGUAACAUCAACAGAAGGAAUGAGAUGCCUCAGAACCCGAUUUUUGAAGUAGAAAUUUUUGAUGUUUGGGGAAUUGAUUUCAUGGGACCGUUCAACCCUCCAUCAAACGGCAAUGCCUACAUUCUGGUCGCAGUUGAUUAUGUUUUAAAAUGGGUUGAAGCCAUUGCAAGUCCCACCAACGAUCACAAGGUUGNNNNNNNNNNNNNNNNNNNNNNNNNNNNNNNNNNNNNNNNNNNNNNNNNNNNNNNNNNNNNNNNNNNNNNNNNNNNNNNNNNNNNNNNNNNNNNNNNNNNCUGAAACAGUUUCCUGGAAAGCUCAAGUCCAGAUGGUCUGGACCAUUUGAAAUCAAGGAUGUUUUGCCAUUCGGUGCGAUCACUCUCCUGAACAAGGAUGGCAGCGAGUUCACUGUGAACGGUCAACGUGUCAAGCGCUACCUAGCUGAUCAAGAGACACCAGAGGGGUCCUCCAUACCUCUCUACGAGCCUCCCAAAGCCUAAAAGGCAUAAAAGUCAAGCUCAGUGACUUUAAACAAGCUCACUUGUGAGGAAUUCCCAAAGGUAUCCCUGUACAUAUUGCUUAGGAUUUUUCUUGUGUUUUUAAUUUUUGUUUUUGGUUUUGUGUUGUUCAGGACAUCAAAGACAUGAGAGAACAGAUACAUUAUCAUCAGAACGUGAAAUGAACGAAGUGAGCGGGAGAUGCAGUGUCAAACAUAGUUCAGUGAGAUGGUGGGUAGAGAUGGUUCAGUGAGAUGGUGGGUAGAGAUGGUUUUAGUUAAAAAAAACCCUCUUUUCCUUACCCACUCGAUUUUUCCUAUCCUUUUCUCCCCAACCACACAAAAAAUCCUAUCUUCUCUCUAUCUCUCUCACUCACAUCCUUCACCACUUCUCACAUCCUCUCACCAUCCACUCAACCUCGCAGCUACCACUCGACCCUCACUCGAGUCACGCCGUCGAAGCAUCCUCUUCACUCGGCCGGGUUCACUCGAGCACCGAGGCUCACGCGACCCUUUCUCACCAUCCGCUCACCCUCACUCGACGCGCACACCACUCGACGGUAAAGCUCUCGCUCGACUCGUCGGAUUCCAGCCCACUCGACCGGCUAAGCAAGCUCCGGCACCUCCUCACUCGACGUGAACCGCUCGGGUAACUCAAACCUCGUUGUUUACUUGGCGAGUGUUGCUCACUUGACCGACUUGAGAAGCUUCACUCGACAGGUUGUCGCUCGAUCCGUUCAUCUUCAGCACUCCCUCUCCAUUACUCGACUUGUCUUCACCGGAUUCUCGAAGGAGGCACUCGACCGUCACUCACUCGACCGUAUUCACUCGAGGUUACCGUCAAUCUACUUGAGCAGCUACUAAAGCUCACUCGAGCUCCCACUCAAUCGGCUAAACUCCACCCCCAACCGACAAGUACUCGACCAGUCGUACUCGACCCUUACUCGACUCGCUUUCGUCUCCUCCGAUUUCACCAGCCAAGCGAGCUCCUCGCCACUCGACGUGCAUCACUCACACGACGAGUCAAGCUCCCAAGCUUCACUCGACCACUCUCACCGUCGCCUCACUCGAACUUCCCAUUGAUACUCUUCACACGCGUGUAAACCUCGACCGAGUACAAGGUCACUCGACCGAACCCAGCUGGAUACUCACUCGACCGAGAAGUGCAAAAGUGAUAAAUUUGCUAAGUGUUACUUCCCUUGGCAUUUCUCUAUAUACAUUGGCUAUUUUAUCUUGAUAUUUGGCACACUAACGAGCUAAUUUUUAGCUUUGAGUUUCAACUGUUUCAGUUUCACAAUGUCAAGAGAUUUGUUGCAUGAAAUGCGUGAGAAGUAUGGUUGUAAACCAACAGAGCGUGCAUCUCCUCAGUCUAUGUCUAAGGUCUAUAUGGAGAAGAACAAAGCUGCAUAUGAGAGAGCGUCUGGUGUUGGUCCUUCUCAGGCAAGAAGCAGAGCUAAGUCUUCGGGUAAGAAACCAAUGGAGCUGCAGGAUGACAGUGAUUAUGAGCUUGAAGAGCAUCCACCUGUCCCAGCUCGCAAGUCAGUGCAGAAGAAGAAGGCAGAGAAGUGGUUAGCCCCGGGAGAGUAUUACAAGCUGUUUCAGCAGCAUGAGUUUCAGGGCACGAGGUAUCCUUGCCAGCAGACGAUGGAUGAGCUGGCUAUCUCGAGUGAUGUCGAGUAUAUGUUUGAGCAUUGUCAUCUCAGCACACUCAUGACUAGUCCGCGAAAUGCAUACCGAGAGGAGACAAUUCAGUUCCUCUGUACGCUUGCCAUUCAUCUUUAUGAGGAUGAUCCGGACAUAGAGUCGGAUGGAGGAUUGGGAUACAUCACCUUCACCAUCCAUGAUCAUGAGUAUCUUCUGACUAUCAGAGAGCUGGAAGGUUUGUUUGGAUUCCCUAAUGGAACAGGGACUGGGCAGAGGAUUGAUAGGGAUGAAUUGUUGGCUCUUUGGGAAACGAUUGGGAAUGAUAAGAAGUUCGCUUCAUCUAGGACCAAGAGCAACCACAUCAGAAGUCCAGUUAUCCGCUACUUCCAUCGAUCAGUUGCAAACGUGUUCUUCGCGAGGGAGACAACAGGGACACUGAUCAACGGGGAGCUGGAGAUGAUUGAUCUUGCACUUAAAGAUCUCUUGUUAACAGCAGUAGAUGGGACACUACUGCGAGGUGAUACGACUGAUACAUCCCCCUCGUUCACCCUGUUGCACCAGCUACUCAGUUACAAAACUUGGGUAGUGAAGCUGCAGAACUCAAGGAGUUAUGUGUAUAGGAGGGUUGGUGACAGUCAUCUUGGAAGCUUGUAGCGUCCCGCUGAGUUCAGAGUCUAUUGCACCGAGAUUCAUCGACAUUCAGAACUUGAGGCAAGCUCAAUGGUUGCAUUGGGAGAAACGCAACGGGUUGUAUAUGUAUUACUUCACUCACCCCGUACAUGGUGACGUGCGAUUUUUGCUUCCUUGUAUCGCUUUCACUAGGAUACUCGAAGGAAGCAACAUUGAGUUUACUCCCCCUGCAGAGGCUCUCUACACGACAGAUGGUGAGGAAGCGAUGGAGGUAUCUGAGAAAGAGGAUGAUGAGAUGGAAGAAGAUUCAGAUGAGUAUAGACCAGACAGGUAUCACUUCCAGGACUACACAGCGCCUAGACAAGGCAAGAGUUUGGUGGAAGCUCACAAGCGUAUCAGUACACUUCAGAAGUGGAACAUGCUGCAAGACAAGGCAAUAAAAUCUAUGAAGUCGAAGAUGAAGAGCUUCAUGAGUAAGUUUAGCUGCGCCUCCACCACCACAGCUUUUGCAGACACUACUCCGCAGGAUGCUAGACCAGUGCAGCGUCGUUUGUCCACGAGUGAUGUCCCAGCACGCUACAGAACUCCUUCUCCAUCACGUCAUUCCGCUUAUGAGUAUAGAGAGCAUAAUGUUUCUUCUUCUCCUCUGAGACAGUCCUCCCCUGAGCUUAGGGCUAGCAAAAAGAAGGAGAAACGGAAAAAGAAGAAGGCAGCGAGACGGAAGGCAAAAGCCAGUUCAUCACACUUGUCAGAGGAGCAUCAUGUUGAGGAUCUGACCAUGGAUCAAGCUGAGGAUCACAUUGAGGACCUGACUGUUGAUCCAAGUGCGUAUCAUUUCCAAGACCUCACUGCGGAUCCUGUCGAGCAGAACGUUGAGCAACCAGCAGUGGCUCCUCCUGUCCCGCCUGCACCAGGUGCUUAUACAAGCGAGUCCAUGACUCAAUACCUGAAUUGCUAUUUUCAGUAAGGUACCACUCCAAACCUUCAUCUGUAUAUACCAUUGCAUUUUCAUACUUUUCUUUGUUUGAUUCUCAAACCAACUCUCAAAAUUUUAUUACACAAGAGACUGUGUAAUUUAAGUUUGGGGGAGGGUUUGGGAUGACAUUUGAUGUUGUGUUCUCUUUUCUUAUUGAAUUUUUAGCAUAUAAUUUGCAUUCAUAUAUGUGCAUUGAAAACACCUAAAAAUUUGAAAAAAAAAUUUCAGAAAAAAAUCUUUAAAAACAGAGUGAUCAUGUAGCUUGCAUUUGCAUAUUAGGAUUGAGUCUAGAUUGUUUCAUGUAGGACUGUUGCAUUAGCAUAGGGGGCGAUGAUGAGUUACACCUUGUUGAUUUGCUAUGAUUCACCAGUUGAGAUCAAUGCCCUGGUUGUUAGCUUUUUGAUGCAUGAUGAUUGAACUUGAAGUAAGUCUGAAACAAACUUGGAAUUCAUGAAGAGCAUUUUUGAACUUGGUUGAAACAUGUUGUGAUAUGAUCUCAUUCCUUACCCUGUAAGAACUUAAUCUUGACUUGCAAAUAUCUGGUUGUGUUUUGCUUGCAUGCUCAUGGUCACCAUAUACAUAUUUGGAUCAUCUUCCUCCUUUCACCACUCUUGUUGAUCCAAGUAGCUGAUCUUUAUUUUGAUCAGUUUGCCACACCCGCAGCCUAUCCUUUUCUUUCAAGCCAAUUGAUAAUUUUUGAGUGGUAGGUCUUUUACCGGAUUAUGCUUGGGGAGAACGUGUUAGGUAUGAGCCGACAGGAUUAAAAUCUUGAGUAGUUCUGAUUUUCACUUUCAAAUCAGAUAGGACUAGGUCGGGAUUCUUACUUGGGUUUGGGAUUGUAAUGAUUAUGGAAAGAAAGAAGAGAAACAGAAAAAGUUGUGUCCUUAGGAGGAGAAUGUUUUCUAGAAGUUUAUAAUCUAGUGAUUGAUUUUUGUGGGGUUAGCAUGAUAUACAGAGAAUGGUUCUGGGAUGUUAAGAAAGAGAAAAAGUUUUGAUGUCUUAUAACGUAAGAAGAAAACAGAACCAUAGUUAAGAAGAAAUCCCCUAUCCACUAGUAUUGAUAAGAAACUUCUCCUAAGGCAAAAAGAAAAAAAUGGGAUUGAUGUUGAAGGGUAGACAUAGGGAUCAUCCGGGUUUAGAUGAUUAGGAGUAAGCACUUGGGAACCAUU